rnacentral:rRNA from 1 species
CAGCCGCCGCGGGAAUACGAAGGGUGCAAGCGUUAAUCGGAAUUACUGGGCGUAAAGCGCGCGUAGGUGGUUCAUUAAGUUGGAUGUGAAAGCCCUGGGCUCAACCUGGGAACUGCAUCCAAAACUGGUGAGCUAGAGUACGGUAGAGGGUAGUGGAAUUUCCUGUGUAGCGGUGAAAUGCGUAGAUAUAGGAAGGAACACCAGUGGCGAAGGCGACUACCUGGACUGAUACUGACACUGAGGUGCGAAAGCGUGGGGAGCAAACAGGAUUAGAUACCCCGGUAGUCCCUGUCUCUUAUAA